UGUCGUCAAUCCUACUUAAACCCAUUCAAAUGUGUUGUUAACGCUGGUUUGUUUGGAGCGCCGGCGAGAUCAAAGCUCGUUUGGCUUGUGGAGCUCAUUUUUCCAUGGCUCUGGCUUUAACAGAAGUGCUACAAUUUACGAUUUACGCCACAUUAAGUGCACCAAAAUGGUAUUUAUUGUUAGAAUUUAGUAUUAAAACAUACAAAUUUUGUAAGCUGAGACUUUGUUUCAUAUGCAAGCAGUGCUGUCACUUUGGUGUGAGAUUUACAGCAGCGUGAGAGCGUGAGACCGAGCCUGAAAACGUGUGUCUAAUGCUGAGAGUUGGUAACCCUGAUAUGAAGUGACAGCAGCGUAAUAUACAGUACUUAUGCUACUCUCUGUGCUGAUAAUAUGACCCAAACAAUAAAAUAAAAACAGAAAAUCACUCAAUGCUCUUGAAUGAGUAAUCUCUGUAGCUCUAAUAAGAAGACAUUUUUACUUUUCUGCUGCUUUUAAAUGCUCUAUCAUGAAGAUGAAGAUGAAGAUGGCGGAUUGUGUGGCGCUUGGGGGCAGCUUACUCCGGGUCGUGGGUGGGGCUUGUAAAAUGUGAUGUCUUUUUCUCAUCAGUGCUGUUUAUAAUACAGAUGAUGUUUAGUAUUUUAUCUCCUCCAUUGCACUUUAAAAUAGCAUUCUGACUUCAGAUGUGUCUGAUCAGUUAUGAUCCACUCAGUGUCUCUUUUAUUUGUGUAUCUCUGGAAGUUUUUUGCACUCGUAAGUGACAGUUAUUCUCAACAGUGCAGAAAAUGUGUUAAAGAUGUGUGAAAGUUUGCAGAAACAUAUCAGCACUGUGAAUACAACAUUAUUUCACUUCUUCUUUUUCUUUUUCUUUUUUUUUUUUUUAACCAGAGGCUGUUUUGUUGUGCUUUUGAUCAGCAUAAUGAAGAGCCACUCACUUCUGUACAGAAACCUGCUUUAAAUACAUUCAUAUUCUAAGGCUGAUAAUAUUUGCUUACGUUGAUCACACAACAGACUAAAAUAACCAGUUUCUGCAGUGUCUCACUCCAGUAGUACUAUAAUUGUGUAGAAAGAGAGUGAGAUUAGAGAAGGGAACCCUUUCUCAAUUCUCGUUCAUAAUGUAAAUAAUGUAAAUAAAAAAUAUAAACAUAAUUUUAGAUCUCUGAAAGAGACACAUUUGUAACUUGUAUGCAACUUUUAUAAUCAAGCAGGAAGGGUGUUUUGACAAAAACAACCAUAGAGAAUGUGAAAGUGAAAGUCGUGACAUUUCAACCCAUUCUCACUCCCAAGGCGUCAAAAACUGAAGCAUGGUCAAGCGCCUCUAGCGUCACUAUGAAGACUAUGUAUUACAGGAUUGCUUGCAGAUAACGCUGUCCUUCUUUUUCAGGUCUACAAUAUUGAGCUCAACAGCUCUUUUAAGAGCCAACCCCUAACAAACCUUCCUAAAAACUAAAAGAGCUAUUACUGAGUCUCAGCGAAUCUUGCCAUGAUCAGCCCUUCCCAGAAGAGAAGGAAGGCCAAGGAAAUUCUUUGUUCAGGAUGAGGAAUGAAGACGGCCAUCCUGCGCCCAAACGAAGACAGAAAGUUGUGCAGGUCCACUGAUGAUCUCAUCAGCCAAAUGAGGGGUUUUGACCAAGUGAUGCUCCUGAAAGGAAUGAAAGAAGAGGAUGUGAUAAAUUGUCUUCAAAGAAAAAGCUUCUCAAAAGGUCUUAAAACAGCUUGAAGAAUGGUCUGGGAACUGUCUGAAAAUGGGAUGUUAGGACUGAGAGAUCCUCUGGCUGAGAAAAAGCUACACCACAUCAGUGCUGGAUAUCAACCACAAACUGUUACAGACACGAGAGAAGAAGAUCAUGACGGGGAAGAGCAAGACACCAGUUUAGAUGUGAUGAUAAGGAAUCAUUAUUUUCUGAAACAGUAUCACAUGUCUUAUAUGUAUCACAUGAUCAGUAUCACAGUUGACUGGAUGGGAUUGUUUGACUUUAAAGGACAUUUCAUCACUCAUUUGUAUGAACUGAUGAAUAUAUGAUGUUAAUGAAUUUUUGAUGAUCCAUUAUUAUUUUCCUUGAAUCUUAUUUGUCUUGAUGCUACUUUAUCAACUUUAUA